GACGAACGCUGGCGGCGUGCUUAACACAUGCAAGUCGAACGAUGAACCCGGAGCUUGCUCCGGCGGAUUAGUGCGAACGGGUGAGUAACACGUGAGUAACCUGCCCUUGACUCUGGGAUAACUGCGGGAACCUGUAGCUAAUACCGGAUACGACCCUCGGCGGCAUCGCCAGGGGGUGGAAAGAAUUUCGGUCAAGGAUGGACUCGCGGCCUAUCAGCUAGUUGGUGAGGUAACGGCUCACCAAGGCGACGACGGGUAGCCGGCCUGAGAGGGUGACCGGCCACACUGGGACUGAGACACGGCCCAGACUCCUACGGGAGGCAGCAGUUGGGAAUAUUGCACAAUGGGCGAAAGCCUGAUGCAGCGACGCUGCGUGAAGGAAGAAGGCCUUCGGGUUGUAAACUUCUUUUAUUAAGGAAAAUUAUGAUGGUACUUGAUGAAUAAAUACCUGCAAACUACGUGCCAGCCGCCGCGGUAA
rnacentral:rRNA from 1 species